rnacentral:rRNA from 1 species
UACGUAGGGUGCAAGCGUUGUCCGGAAUUAUUGGGCGUAAAGAGCUCGUAGGCGGUCUGUCGCGUCUGCUGUGAAAACUCGGGGCUUAACCCCGGGCCUGCAGUGGGUACGGGCAGACUAGAGUGCGGUAGGGGAGACUGGGAAUUCCUGGUGUAGCGGUGAAAUGCGCAGAUAUCAGGAGGAACACCGGUGGCGAAGGCGGGUCUCUGGGCCGACACUGACGCUGGAGGAGCGAAAGCGUGGGGAGCGAACAGGA